AAUGCUUAGGAAUCUGCCUAUUAGUGGGGGACAACAUUCCGAAAGGAAUGCUAAUACCGCAUACGCCCUACGGGGGAAAGCAGGGGAUCUUCGGACCUUGCGCUAAUAGAUGAGCCUAAGUCAGAUUAGCUAGUUGGUGGGGUAAAGGCCUACCAAGGCGACGAUCUGUAGCGGGUCUGAGAGGAUGAUCCGCCACACUGGGACUGAGACACGGCCCAGACUCCUACGGGAGGCAGCAGUGGGGAAUAUUGGACAAUGGGCGCAAGCCUGAUCCAGCCAUGCCGCGUGUGUGAAGAAGGCCUUUUGGUUGUAAAGCACUUUAAGCGAGGAGGAGGCUACUUGGAUUAAUACUCUAGGAUAGUGGACGUUACUCGCAGAAUAAGCACCGGCUAACUCUGUGCCAGCAGCCGCGGUAAUACAGAGGGUGCGAGCGUUAAUCGGAUUUACUGGGCGUAAAGCGUGCGUAGGCGGCUUUUUAAGUCGGAUGUGAAAUCCCUGAGCUUAACUUAGGAAUUGCAUUCGAUACUGGGAAGCUAGAGUAUGGGAGAAGAUGGGUAGAAUUCCAGGUGUAGCGGUGAAAUGCGUAGAGAUCUGGAGG
rnacentral:rRNA from 1 species